UAUAAACUCUGAAUACAUCUUGUGAACAAACUAGUACAGUCAUAUAAAUAAAGGAUUAAAAAGUUGCCAACAAGACUUGCCUUUGAAAUUAAGUGGAGUAGAGGUGUAAACACAAAACUGUAAACACUCCAAUCUUUUGCUAGGGUGCAGAAGUGAAACAGUUUGCUUACCUUUCAUAUCCCAUAUAUGCAUAAACAGAAACUUACUUAUCCAAGCAUUUUGUCAGGUAUGAAUGUUCAGAAGAACUCAAAAUUAGACAGGGAGCAGGUCGAGUUCAAAUGUUUCAGCACUGAGAAAAGCGUGCGGCGCUCAAUUAGCUCGUGUUGCGGCACCACCACCCACAGACAGCUGCAGAAAGGUGCAAAAGGUGAAUUGUUGUCUUUCUUACAAGAGAAAAACACAAGCAUAGAAGAGACACAGAAGUAAAAAUUAUAAGGACUAUUUAAGCAGAGUGUAGGCAGUGACAGACGCAGCUGCGGUAAACACAAAAUUAAAAACAUUUAUAGCUUUCUGGGUUUUUUAAAAUCAUUAUUAUUAUAUUAUGAAGAUUCAAAGUUUAAAAAGACAGGCAGGGAAGAGUAGAACAAAAUGAGAUAAACUUCCUUACAUCUCUCACAUAAAUUCACCAGCUGUCUAACUACUCUCACUUUAUGUUUACUAUCGGUCUGAAGCAGAGUGCUAAUGUAGCGUAGCUAAACAGCCCAACGCCGUCUGCUGAGAGUGGACCUCUUAUGUUGCCAAGGUGCUGACGGUAAAAAUACCCAGAGGAACCUUACAAGCCAAUGGGUGCCAUCAUGGUGGCUACGUCAUCGUUUACACUGCCAAAGCUGUGAGUUUGCACAGUCCCAGCAGCACACCUUCAUCGCAGCGUCCACCGAUGGAGACACGGUUGGAGAGGCGGCUGGAGCGUGCCCUGUUUCACACAGAGAGAAGUGGCUCCUCAGAGGCGCAGCUGCUGAGCAGACCACGGAGAAUAAUGUGCACACAAAAAACAGGAUAAAACCUUUGGUGAGGAUUUGAGCUUCACUUGAGAAAACAUCACGACAAAUGCAAAAGAAAUCAGUUUAAAGUUGAGAAAAAGAAUUGUCGAUGUUCAUAAAGCAGGAAAUGGAUAUUCAAAGUUAUCACUGCGUUUCCAAGUGUCAAGAACUGGAGUGAGAAGUACCAUCAAGAAAUUCAGAGCCAAACAGUACAGAACAAGCCUGGCAGAGGUAGGAAGUGAAAGAUUGAAACGCCUCUGUAAAGAAAACUGGUGAGAGAUGUGUCUGAAGACCCCAGAACAACUGCCAAGACACAAGUGCAUGACUUAGCCAAGACGAACCAAGAAAAGACAAUUACUAGGACCCACUUCUGGAGAAGAGGCACCUUCAAGCCAGACUGAAGUAUGCUUCAGUCUGGCUCAAAGUUGCACAACCUGGAGAAUGAGUAUGCAUACUCAUGUGCUUUGAACAGAUGAGAUAAGACCGGAGCUUUUUGGCUACAGAGAUGCUGCUUAUGUUUGAGUAAAGAACGGAGAGGCGUACAACCCACAGUGAAACACGGAGGUGGGAGUUUUAUGCCGUGGGGAUUCUUCAGUGUGUCUGGAUUUGGGAUUUUCGUCAAGGUGGAAGGAAUAAAGAAGAAGGGAAGAUGUGUGAAAGAAAACCUCAAGCCAUACUAAAUGAUAAACUUGGUCUGGGUCUUUGCUUUGUCUUCCAAAACGACAAUGACACGAAACAUACGUCCCUCCUGGUGAAGAACCACCUCCACAACACCAAAGUGAGCAAUACUGACAGGCUUGCACAAAGCUCAAGCUAAAGUCCAACAUAUUUGGAGAAGACUCAAAGAAGAGAUAUUCCAAGAAGAAUGAAGUCAGGAGACGUGUGUGAAAACUUGUUGAAAACUGUGAUAAAGUACUGCAGCCUGAAUAUAAGCAUCAGGAGGCCGAACAAUUGUGUUCUCAUCUGUAUUGUUGUGUUAAGCUAAAAAAAAAAGCCCAUUAAAAGCAAGUUAAUAUCUGAGAGCUGAGGGAUGCAUAAAGGUUUGUAAAUGCAUCAUCAGAAGAAGCUGAAAAAUGGUUUAUUGGUUUGAGUAAUUAUGAUGUGCAGCAGUUUAUGAUUUCAGAGAUCACUAAAGUCCCUGUUAGUCAGAGGUUGGACGUACAGUGCGUGGGGGGCUCAGGGCAGCGGUAGAGGAUUUUUCUAACCAAUAACAACAACGUGCAACAGCGAGUCAUAAGCAACAACCACAAUUCAUUGCGCCUCACCUACAGUGAGUUAUUACAGCUGAUUCAAUAAAGCUGGAGGAUUCACGGGAGAGAGAAUUAGUCAGAAUUAGUGUGGUGUAACAUCAUACAUUUCCCCCUAAUGCACGUUGAUAGCAUCUUUAAUUAGAGUCCCUUGCCUCCUGAACUUGUUUCAAACGCAUCCAGUAUUAAAUGCAGGCUUUCUAUUAAAAUGUAAAACGCUCGAGUGAAACGGCACCACGAGCACAUUAUUAUGGCUCUAUUUUUCAAACUUUGGAAAGCUUCUCCAGAGCUACAGACGAUAUCGCACGGCUGUUUUUAACA